rnacentral:lncRNA from 1 species
CAUAAAUCCCCGAGGUUUUCUGAGAUGUAAAACAUCCAUAAUGUUUUCUGGAGGAAUGCACAUAUGAUUUCCUUGAUUUCUCCCGUCUGUCAGUAAAUCCCAUGCUGGAAGGGUGUCAAUUUACAAUGAUUUGAAAAUAUAUCUCACCACUUCCUAUUUGAAAAUGGAGUCCCGGACAUGUGGAAUAAUUAAUUAAACAAUAUUCUCGCAACAUCUAUGGGCGUUGUAUUCCAAUCAAAAGUAUGCCCAUUAUAUAUCCUACACUUCUUUAUCUUGCAGUGGCUCUAAAACCGCUCGUCAUUCAUCAUGUUUAGAUCACAAUGCAAAAGUUACCUAUGGAAGUAUUGUCUAUUUUUUAUUAUAAGCAUGCUAUAUUUGUCUCUCGACUUUAGCAAACAAAAAUCAAUAAAUCAAGAAUUUUAUUUCUGGAGGUGUAAUAAAUGUUAAUUGUGUUAAUGUUAGAUAUGUUUGUUGGUUCGAAAAGUAUCGAAAUUAAUUUUUAUAAUUACUAUCAAUAAUCAUUGCAUCAAACAAAUUACACAAAAUGGACAAAAAGAAAACAGUAAUAAGCAUGCACACUGGCCAUUGUUUUCAUCUACAUCUUCAUCUUCCUCCAUCAUCAUAACUGCAUCAUACAAGUUUUUCCCAUACUGGACAAUGUUUAAAACAACAUCAAUACACAUCAGUACAAUCACAGUUAUUGUCAACUCUGUCAUGCUCCAUUCAGAUAAAACGAGACUAUAUAAAAAUAUAAAAAUAUCGAAAAUAGUUUCUUGUACUCGGUAAACAAGUAUAAACUCGACGACAGUUGCGUCGAUGUCAGAAUACUCCUUUAAACUGUAGCAUAAGUACGUUUCGGUACCAUAUAACAGCAAAAUGUGAACAAGGAUUACAGAAAAUAGAACUAUAGCUGCCACGCCCUUUAUGUAGUUAUCUGCAUUAAUUACGCAUAUAGUUGUAAAAAUUAUAACAUUUGACAAAAAUCCAAUAAUAAUGCGAAUAAUAAAAACCAGUUUCUUCCAUUUUUCAAUUUGUUCUACAAAAACAUUAUCUUCACGACAUGAUUCAAAAGUUCUGACUAAAACCAGGAGAGAAGAACUGGUUAUAUCCAAGUAGUAAUCCAUAUGUUUAAAAUACUUUGUGUAAUUUAUUCAUGAAUG